rnacentral:rRNA from 1 species
GACGAACGCUGGCGGCGUGCUUAACACAUGCAAGUCGAACGAAGUGGCGAACGGGUGAGUAACGCGUAAUCAACCUGCCCUUCAGAGGGGGACAACAGUUGGAAACGACUGCUCAUACCGCAUACUGCAGUCGGGGAUUGCGUCUGAUCAGCUAGUUGGAGGGGUAACGGCCCACCAAGGCGAUGAUCAGUAGCCGGUCUGAGAGGAGGAACGGCCACAUUGGGACUGAGACACGGCCCAGACUCCGACGGGAGGCAGCAGUGGGGAAUCUUCCGCAAUGGACGAAAGUCUGACGGAGCAACGCCGCGUGAGUGAUGACGGCCUUCGGGUUGUAAAGCUCUGUUAAUCGGGACGCGGUACCGGAAUAGAAAGCCACGGCUAACUACGUGCCAGCAGCCGCGGUAAUUC